rnacentral:rRNA from 1 species
CCUACGGGUGGCAGCAGUGAGGAAUAUUGGUCAAUGGGCGCGAGCCUGAACCAGCCAAGUCGCGUGAGGGAAGACGGCCCUAUGGAUUGUAAACUUCUUUUAUCGGGGAGUAAAAUACGCCAUGCGUGGCGUUCUGUGAGUACCCGAAGAAUAAGCAUCGGCUAACUCCGUGCCAGCAGCCGCGGUAAUACGGAGGAUGCGAGCGUUAUCCGGAUUUAUUGGGUUUAAGGGGUGCGAAGGCGGAGGGUAAGGUCAGUGGUAAAAUUGUGAGGCGAAACCUAUUCGGGCCGUUGAUACUGGUUGUCGUGAGUGCAGGAGAGGUAGGCGGAAUGCGUGGUGUAGCGGUGAAAUGCAUAGAUAUCACGAAGAACUCCGAUUGCGAAGGCAGCAUACCGGCGCGCAACUGACGCUCAUGCACGAAAGUGUGGGUAUCAAACAGGAUUAGAUACCCGAGUAGUC